rnacentral:lncRNA from 1 species
GCUUCUUCUUGUAUAACCAUCCACAAUGGUUCAUGCCUCUUCAAUCUCUUUGCACGACAUGGGUGUCUCUUUGCCACUGGAAAUUUCAGCUUCUGUGCAGUCGUUUUUGAGCCAGAUGAAAAUGCACUUUUGUGAGGUUUUGGACUGCCCAAAGCAUCCAAUAAUGCACGGUCAUGGUCUGAGAUCAAAGCCUUAUUUGAAAUGUCACCUAAGUGUUUAAAACUCCACGGUCAUGGUCUGAGAUCAAAGCCUUACUGGUUCAUGCCUCUUCAAUCUCUUUGCACUACAUGGAUGUCUCUUUGCCACUGACAAUUUCAGCUUCUGUGCAGUCGUUUUUGAGCCAGAUGAAAAUGCACUUUUGUGAGGUUUUGGACUGCCCAAAGCAUCCAAUAAUGCACGGUCAUGGUCUGAGAUCAAAGCCUUACUUGAAAUGUCACCUGAGUGUUUAAAACUCUCCAACUCUACUGCUGUGAUUUUCUGAAGUUGUUGCUGCUCAGAUUAA